ACGCUGGCGGCGUGCCUAAUACAUGCAAGUCGAGUCGGACCAAAGGGAGCUUGCUCCUGGAGGUUAGCGGCGAACGGGUGAGUAACACGUGGGCAACCUGCCUGUAAGACUGGGAUAACAUCGAGAAAUCGGUGCUAAUACCGGAUAAUAAAAAGAACUGCAUGGUUCUUUUUUGAAAGAUGGUUUCGGCUAUCACUUACAGAUGGGCCCGCGGCGCAUUAGCUAGUUGGUGAGGUAACGGCUCACCAAGGCGACGAUGCGUAGCCGACCUGAGAGGGUGAUCGGCCACACUGGGACUGAGACACGGCCCAGACUCCUACGGGAGGCAGCAGUAGGGAAUCUUCCGCAAUGGACGAAAGUCUGACGGAGCAACGCCGCGUGAGUGAUGAAGGUUUUCGGAUCGUAAAACUCUGUUGUUAGGGAAGAACAAGUGCCGUUCGAAAGGGCGGCACCUUGACGGUACCUAACGAGAAAGCCACGGCUAACUACGUG
rnacentral:rRNA from 1 species